rnacentral:rRNA from 1 species
UACGGAGGGAGCAAGCGUUGUUCGGAUUUACUGGGCGUAAAGGGCGCGUAGGCGGCGCGGUAAGUCACUUGUGAAAUCUCUGAGCUUAACUCAGAACGGGCAAGUGAUACUGCAGUGCUAGAGUGCAGAAGGGGCAAUCGGAAUUCUUGGUGUAGCGGUGAAAUGCGCAGAUAUCAGGAGGAACACCGGUGGCGAAGGCGGGACUCUGGGCCGAUACUGACGCUGAGGAGCGAAAGCGUGGGGAGCGAACAGG